rnacentral:rRNA from 1 species
CAGCCGCCGCGGUAAUACGAAGGGGGCUAGCGUUGCUCGGAAUGACUGGGCGUAAAGGGCGCGUAGGCGGCGGCCAAAGUCAGGCGUGAAAUUCCCGGGCUCAACCUGGGGGCUGCGUUUGAUACUUGGUUGCUUGAGUGGGGAAGAGGGUCGUGGAAUUCCCAGUGUAGGGGUGAAAUUCGUAGAUAUUGGGAAGAACACCAGUGGCGAAGGCGGCAACCUGGUCCUUGACUGACGCUGAGGCGCGAAAGCGUGGGGAGCAAACAGGAUUAGAUACCCGAGUAGUCCCUGUCUCUUAUAC